rnacentral:rRNA from 1 species
AAUAUUGGACAAUGGGCGAAAGCCUGAUCUAGCCAUGCCGCGUGUGUGAAGAAGGUCUUCGGAUUGUAAAGCACUUUACGUUGGGAGGAAGGGCCGUAAGUUAAUACCUUGCUGAUUUGACGUUACCGACAGAAUAAGCAUCGGCUAACUUCCAGACAUCAGCCGCGGUAACACGAAGGGUGCAAGCGUUAAUCGUAAUUAGUGGGCGUAAAGCGCGCGUAGGUGGUUCGUUAAGUUGGAUGUGAAAGCCCCGGGCUCAACCUGGGAACUGCAUCCAAAACUGGCGAGCUAGAGUACGGUAGAGGGAGGUGGAAGUUCCUGUGUAGCGGUGAAAUGCGUAGAUAUAGGAAGGAACACCAGUGGCGAAGGCGACCACCUGGACUGAUACUGACACUGAGGUGCGAAAGCGUGGGGAGCAAGCAGG